rnacentral:tRNA from 1 species
AGGGAUGUAACUUAGGUAGAGCACUUGCCUGGCAUGUGAGAGGCCCUGGGUUCAAUCCCCAGCAUUGCAA